ACCAUGUCUUCCUUUCCCUUAUGUUUAAUGUAUAUAUAAUUAUUGGAUAAUGGAAAAUGAUGAUAAGAUUUUGCACUUCCUGGACAUCAAUUAGACUCCCACUUUUCUUUUUCUUUUGUUCUAUUUUGUUUAUUUCAUCCUCCUUUCAUCAAUCAACAACAUCAACAUAACCCAUGUGAACUGCCAUUUCAUCCAUGCUACAGCUUCUCGCCACCACCACGCUUCCGCCGCACCUAUUUGCCGACGACGCGAAGACCUGUGGAGGCUGAGCUGCAUGCCGACUCCGUGAGAAGGAGAGGAGAGGAGAGGAGAGGGCGAAGUCUGGUGGAGACCCAGCCGCCAAGCUCAUCACCGCGCUGUUGCCAUCCUCAUCUAUCGCUGGUCUACCGGCCAAAGAGUGAAGACGAUGAUGGACGCUGCCCAGUCACCGCCAUCGACCAAGGAAGAAGGCCACCGGAGUUCUGUCGGUCGCUGCUUCCCAUCGCCGUUUACCGUACCCCUGCUUCUUUGUUCAUCAUCUACAAGCUUUAAGCUUCUACAUAACUGCCUUGUCGGAAAAUAUGGGGUUGACGGCAAGGAUUUGUUGGUGAUGUUGAAUAUUGUUACGAACAAGAAAUGAGCAAGCAAAGUUGUGCUUGGCCAGAGAAGACACUAUGUGAAAGAGCACUUUCGUGCUGAUAACGUGUUAUGAAUAAUAACAAUAAUUGUGAUAUUAUGGAGAAAUGAAAGUAAAGAACACAAAAGCUAGAAGGAGGAAGAAGCAUUCAUUGCAUUGAUGUUUGCUGGGGAUUAUCUUUACAAAGGAGCGAUAGGGGUAUUUAUAGUAUCAGAAUAUAGAGUAAACAAAUAUAAUAUUUGCAUAAGGUUGACAAGUGUUAAAGUUAGUCUAUUUGGUUGAUCAGAGGAUAGCUUUGCUUUGUCAUGCUUGAGGCUAUGUGUUCCAUCCCUAGCAGUUGCUUUGGAACUUGAAUUUAUUCUUUUCUGAACUGAGAACCGCCAUCAUAAUAUGAUACAAUAUUUACAGGC